rnacentral:lncRNA from 1 species
AUGUUUGCAAGUAGCACUUGCAUCUGGAAGUCUCUGCUUGUCGGGCGGAGGCCAGGCAGUUCUCAGGUCCGCAGGCCGCACGCAGCCUGCCUCGCACCAGUCCUGGGAAAAGCUGUCCACAGGUGCCCUUCUGACCCGGCCUCCCUCAGGCUGCAGACGUGGGGCAGCUCGUGGAAUGGUGUUCCUGGACUCUCCCUCCCAUGCCAUUUCUUUUACAGGGAAUAUUUCAGGCAUGCAGCUGACCUAGAGGGCAGCGUAGAGAGAGGAGAAAGAGAACAUACCACCUGUGUACCUAUGGCCUUGCCUUUAUCAAAUUCUGACCCCCCCGAGCACGUGGUUGUGCUCCGUGGAAAGAAGUCAGGCCUUCUGGGGAACCAAGGUGCCUCUCACCGGCCCGAGGCCAGCAGCCUCCCCUUCUCCCAGAGGCAAACCCUGGGGAGAAUACCAUGGCAAAGAAUGACAUUUCAGGCGCACUCUCGGAACACCGUGCUGGGUUUUCUUUUGGCUCCACCACCGCUGAUGAGAAGUCAGUGGUCCGUCCAAAUGCCAACCGGCUGCUUGGGAAGUCCUUGCCGCAGGGCUCCGUUGACGUCGCUCCAGUCCAGACACGGCCUCCCAGCGACAAAAGUCAGAAGGCAAUAAGAUGUCCCCAGUGCCUGGCAACCUGCUUCUAACUCCCCGGUGAACCUUGUGACAAGGACGGCUCAAGGUGCUACAGGCUGCAGGUGCAGAGAAAGGCUUUUCUCCAGGAGCAAAGAUGCAUUUGUUCACGGUUGGGAGGCAGCGCCUUGGAGCAUCGCACUUCCGUCAAGAUUCUCAGAUACUCAGCGCCAGAUCUUGUAGCCAAAUGAUGUCCUCACAGGUUUCUACAGAUAAAACCAUUAUGGAAAUCACUGUGUUUCUGCAGCUUUCAUUAUACCUCAGCCACAAUGCCCCUGAUACGGCCGGGUGGACGGAGAGACGGCCACUGCACUGGGGCGAGGACAAGCUGCACUGUCCACGGGGUCAGGAGCAGUGCUCAGAGCGCCUGUCCCUGGGGCCGCUCACCUUGGUUUCCCAAGUGAGCCUGUAUUCCUCAUUGGUAAGCCCAGGCUGUUGCAGGAGAGGAAUUGAAGUCCUGCACCUUUUAUGGAACAGUCAGCCAAGUGAAAGCAUUUUGCACAUUUCCCUCAGCCUUCUGUUUCAUCAGAAAGUUUGGGUUGCAUUUUAAGAAAAGAAUGUCUUGGGGUGCCUGGGUGGCUCAGUGUUUGAGCGUCUGCCUUUGGCUCAAGGUAUGAUCCCCGGGGUCCUGGGAUUGAGUCCCGCAUCAGGCUCCCUGCAGGGAGCCUGCUUCUCCCUCUGCCUGUGUCUCUGCUUCUCUGUGCAUCUCUCAUGAAUAAAUAAAUAACAUCUAAAAAAAUGUCUUUAGUUUGCCUGGAGCUUGCUGCCAAGCGGUACUCUGGGGGAAGGGUGGUCUGGCGGAGGGGAGAGCUGGCGUCCUAGUCCAGCAGCAGCAGCAAACAACUUGCCCUGUGACUUUGGAUUAUACAACAAAUCAGUAACGUUAGUUGCCCUUGGAGAGAGAGUCUAAGGAGCUGGUGACCAGUUUUUGGAUGUCGUGGGCUGAAUUUCGAUAAGAACUCUGCUCACUUGGAUUUGUACUCCUCACUAUACCCCAUGCAUUUUACACACACACACACACACACACACACACACACACACACGCAAAAUCUACCACCUGCUACUUCAAGGCAUAAAUGCCUAAAGUUAAAUUAGCCCAUAGACCUAGGAAGCUUACGUAUCUGCUUCCAGAAACAAAACCCAUGCUGUGGUAUUUCUCACCCAGGAUUCUGGAGGCUUAGAAUGGUUGAUAGCGUUCCCCCCAUGGAGUGUCCGCAUGGUUUUAUAAACAGGACAUGAACAUUAUGACUCUACAGCAUCCAAUCCAGGUCAUUCUGGAGUGUGAAAGGGCCCCGUUCUGUCUGUCGGAAGCAAGCACGACCCCUUUUGCUGGCGCAUCUUACCGCAUCUUUGCAUCUUCCACGUGGCCAGUGACCAUGGUGUGGCCCGCAAGGAGCGCUUCCACUGCGGAAGACUCUCCCAGAGUCUUCCCUGCACUCUCAGGGGAACUGGUUCCGUUGAUGUCAUCAAUCCCAUCACCAACUUAAUUAAAUGAGAAGUGUUUGUUGUUUGGGACUCAUGAAAUGAUGCUGGGUGAUUUCCCAUGGAUUUAAGCUUCAGACUGUGGGGAACACAUAAGAUGUACAUCCUCACAGAUGGACUCGUAUGAACGGCGGACGGUCCUAGCAUAAGGGACAGACAAAACUGUGAAAAUCGGCAGCGCCAGCUCAGAAGCAAUGAUUUGCAAGAGGUUCGAUCUAAAUUAUAAUUUCCUGAGUCCAACACGAUACAUUUCCAGACACACGCAUUAAAAAAUGCAGGAUGUGUUGACAGGAAGAUGGUACCUGAGGUGUU